rnacentral:rRNA from 1 species
GGAUGCGAUCAUACCAGCAUUAAAGCCCCGGAUCCCAUCAGAACUCCAAAGUUAAGCGUGCUUGGGCGAGAGUAGUACUAGGAUGGGUGACCUCCUGGGAAGUCCUCGUGUUGCAUUCC